rnacentral:rRNA from 1 species
CUUUUAAUUUGAGGCUUGAAUGAAUGGUCGGACAUGAAGAAAGCUGUCUUAUCUGAUAAAGUUGAACUUAACUUGUGUGUGAAAAGGCACAAAUGUUCUAAAGGGACGAUAAGACCCUAUAAAACUUUAUGAGUUAUGAGGUGUUUCUUGAUUUGUGAUGUAAACGGGGGUUAGUCGGACUCAUUGUGCUGGGGCGGCUAGAAUAUAAAUGUAACUGUUCUUGUUUACAAAAUAAUUAUAAUUAGAUUUUGACCCUGAUAUUUGGUUUAAAAAAGUAAGUUACUUUAGGGAUAACAGCGUA